CAGCAGCCGCGGUAAUACGGAGGGUGCAAGCGUUAAUCGGAAUUACUGGGCGUAAAGCGCACGCAGGCGGUUUGUUAAGUCAGAUGUGAAAUCCUCGAGCUUAACUUGGGAACUGCAUUUGAAACUGGCAAGCUAGAGUCUUGUAGAGGGGGGUAGAAUUCCAGGUGUAGCGGUGAAAUGCGUAGAGAUCUGGAGGAGUACCGGUGGCGAAGGCGGCCCCCUGGACAAGGACUGACGCUCAGGUGCGAAAGCGUGGGGAGCAAACAGGAUUAGAUACCCGGGUAGUCCCUGUCUCUUAUAA
rnacentral:rRNA from 1 species